rnacentral:rRNA from 1 species
CAGUCGCCACGGUAAUACGAAGGGUGCAAGCGUUAAUCGGAAUUACUGGGCGUAAAGCGCGCGUAGGUGGUUUGUUAAGUUGGAGGUGAAAUCCCCGGGCUCAACCUGGGAACUGCCUCCAAAACUGGCUGACUAGAGUACGGUAGAGGGUGGUGGAAUUUCCUGUGUAGCGGUGAAAUGCGUAGAUAUAGGAAGGAACACCAGUGGCGAAGGCGACCACCUGGACUGAUACUGACACUGAGGUGCGAAAGCGUGGGGAGCAAACAGGAUUAGAUACCCGUGUAGUCCCUGUCUCUUAUAC